rfam:Camelus ferus unplaced genomic scaffold scaffold823, whole genome shotgun sequence.
GGAGAGUUUAGCUCAGUGGUAGAGUGCAUGCUUAGCAUGCAUGAGGUCCUGGGUUCAAACCCCAGUACCUCCA